GAAAUGCGAUAAGUAAUGUGAAUUGCAGAAUUCAGUGAAUCAUCGAAUCUUUGAACGCACAUUGCGCCCGCCAGUAUUCUGGCGGGCAUGCCUGUUCGAGCGUCAUUUCAACCAUCAAGCCCCCGGGCUUGUGUUGGGGACCUGCGGCUGCCGCAGGCCCCGAAAACCAGUGGCGGGCUCGCUGUCACACCGGGCGUAGUAGAUUUUUCGUCUCACCCAGGGCGUGCUGCGGGUUCCGGCCGUUAAAAAGCCUCUCUUUUAACCCAAGGUUGACCUCGGAUCAGGUAGGAAGACCCGCUGAACUUAAGC
rnacentral:misc_RNA from 1 species